AGCGAACGCUGGCGGCAGGCCUAACACAUGCAAGUCGAGCGCCCGUAGCAAUACGGGAGCGGCAGACGGGAUAGUAACACGUGGGAACGUACCCUUCAGUUCGGAACAACCCAGGGAAACUUGGGCUAAUACCGAAUACGUCCGUAAGGAGAAAGAUUUAUCGCUGAAGGAUCGGCCCGCGUCUGAUUAGCUAGUUGGUGGGGUAAUGGCCCACCAAGGCGACGAUCAGUAGCUGGUCUGAGAGGAUGAUCAGCAUCACUGGGACUGAGACACGGCCCAGACUCCUACGGGAGGCAGCAGUGGGGAAUAUUGGACAAUGGGCGCAAGCCUGAUCCAGCCAUGCCGCGUGGAUGAUGAAGGCCCUAGGGUUGUAAACUGCUUUUGUACGGAACGAAAGGCUUCUUUUAAUACAGGGAGCUCAUGACGGUACCGUAAGAAUAAGCACCGGCUAACUACGUGCCAGCCGCCGCUGUAAC
rnacentral:rRNA from 1 species